UACGUAGGUGGCAAGCGUUGUCCGGAAUUACUGGGCGUAAAGGGCGCGUAGGCGGUUCGUCAAGUCCUGUGUGAAAUCCCCCGGCUCAACUGGGGAACUGCACAGGAAACUAGCGGGCUUGAGUUCGGGAGAGGGAAGCGGAAUUCCGGGUGUAGCGGUGAAAUGCGUAGAUAUCCGGAGGAACACCGGUGGCGAAGGCGGCUUCCUGGACCGACACUGACGCUGAGGCGCGAAAGCUAGGGGAGCAAACGGG
rnacentral:rRNA from 1 species